AGUAAUAUAUAGUUAAUCUGCCCUACACAGAGGAACAACAGUUGGAAACGACUGCUAAUACCUCAUACUCCUAUUUGACAUAAGUUAAAUAGGGAAAGUCUUUUCGGUGUAGGAUGAGACUAUAUCGUAUCAGCUAGUUGGUAAGGUAAUGGCUUACCAAGGCUAUGACGCGUAACUGGUCUGAGAGGAUGAUCAGUCACAUUGGAACUGAGACACGGUCCAAACUCCUACGGGAGGCAGCAGUAAGGAAUAUUGCGCAAUGGGGGAAACCCUGACGCAGCAACGCCGCGUGGAGGAUGACACUUUUCGGAGCGUAAACUCCUUUUAUCAGGAAAGAAUAAUGACGGUACCUGAUGAAUAAGCACCGGCUAACUCCGUGCCAGCAGCCGCGGUAAUACGGGGGGUGCAAGCGUUACUCGGAAUCACUGGGCGUAAAGGACGCGUAGGCGGAUUAUCAAGUCUUUUGUGAAAUCUAGUGGCUUAACCACUAAACUGCUUAGGAAACUGAUAGUCUAGAGUAGGGGAGAGGUAGAUGGAAUUCUUGGUGUAGGGGUAAAAUCCGUAGAGAUCAAGAAGAAUACCCAUUGCGAAAGCGAUCUGCUGGAACCUAACUGACGCUGAGGCGUGAAAGCGUGGGUAGCAAACAGGAUUAGAUACCCUGGUAGUCCACGCCCUAAACGAUGUAUACUAGUUGUUGCUUUGCUAGUCAAGGCAGUAAUGCAGCUAACGCAUUAAGUAUACCGCCUGGGGAGUACGGUCGCAAGAUUAAAACUCAAAGGAAUAGACGGGGACCCGCACAAGCGGUGGAGCAUGUGGUUUAAUUCGAAGAUACGCG
rnacentral:rRNA from 1 species